UAUCCUACAUUGUAUGGAAGUGUACGACAGUAUCAAGCUGACCGGAUUAAGCUGUCUCUUUCUACCCCCUACACCCCCGGUUUAUACAGUGCAAGGUUUUCAAGGUGGGUCAAUUGUUCCUGCAUCUCAGAACAGGGAGAGAGAAACUACUUCCAGACUGGCACCUGACCAGUAACUCCCAGAGCACAAUGUUGGGUACCGUUCCGUUUCUGUGGACAUACUGUCACUCGGUCAGAACGUUAAAACCUGCCACCACUUCCAACUCUGUGUCUGGAUGCUGGUGUCACAGCUGCACUGCACUGCGGUGUAGUCAAUUGUGUCCCCCCACCCUCCCCGACACGCAGGGGAGCUCUGUCAUCCCACAGAGCGCUCACAGCACCCGGAACACAGAAGUAUCCAUGGGGCUGGAGAGAUGGCUCAGUGGUGAAGAGCACUUGGCUUCUCUUUCAGAGGACCUGAGUUCAAUUCCCAGCAACCACAUGGUGACUCACAACCAUCUGUGAUGCCCUCUUCUGGCGUGCAGGUUUACAUUCAGGCAGAGCAAUGUAUAUGUAAAAAUAAAUAAAUCUUUAAAAUAAAAAAGGAC